ensembl:lncRNA
GACUCAGCAACGUGGGAUCCAAGCCGCGUCUGUGAUCUACACCACAGCUCACGGCAACGUCGGAUCCUUAACCCACUGAUCCAACCCACAACCUCAUGGUUCCUAGUCGGAUUCGUUAACCACUGCACCACGACAGGAACUCCUGGAAUUUUUUUUAAGCAUUGUGUUAUUUUCCUAGGGCUGCCGUGAAAAUUUUCUACAAAUGUAGUAACCAAACAAUAGGAAUGUGGAGUUCCCGCUGUGGCUCAGUGGAUUAUGAACCUGACUAGUAUCCAUGAGGAUGUGGGUUCGAUCCCUGGCCUUGUUCAGUGGGUUAAGGAUCCGGCGUUGCCGUGAGCUGUGGUGUAGAUCACAGACGCGGCUUGGAUCCGGCGUUGCUGUGGCUGUGGUGUAGGCCGGCAGCUGUAGCUCUGAUUGGACCCCUAGCCUGGGAACCUCCACAGGCCACAGGUGGGGCCCUAAAAAGCAAAAAACCAAAAAAACAAAAAAAACCAACAGCAGGAUUUUGUUCCCUCAGCGCUGGAGGCCAGGAGGCUGAGGUCAAGGGGCGCUGGCCGAGCUCCCUCCGACGGUUCCAGGGAAGUACCUGCUUCCUCCAGCUCCCGGUAGCCCGGGCUUGUGGCCACAGCAGCGCAACUCUGCCUCCUCCUUGUGUGGCCUCCCUGUGUGUCCGGGUGUCACAUCUCUCCCUUUCUCUUAUGACAGGGACGUCUGUCCUUAAUUUUGGACCCAUCCUAAAUCCAGGGCCACCUCCUAUGGAGACAGGGUAUAAGUUGGAGCCGGGGGAGGGGCAGAGCCCAGCCCCUCCCCUGUGAAUGGAGGAGCAGAGCCGAGGGAAGGGGCACGGCCCAGGCUGGUGGGCGCCUGGGCUCCCAGGCCCGUGGCUGGCCUCUAGGUCCAGGGACACAGGAGGAGCUCACACAGCCUAUUCCCUCGGGGGGGGCCCUGAGAACCGCGGGGGAUACGGCGGGGCUCACAGGGUGCCCGGGGCUGUGCCACCAGGUCAGGGCCUUUCUGCAGGCUCGGGAGGUUGGGGCCAGGGAGCCAGUUCUGGGAGGGGACGCUGGGGUGCACGCUGGCGUGGGGAGCGACCAGUCCCGCGAGGUGGCACUCAGCUGGGAGGAGAAAGGGAGCCAAACGGGCCUGUCCGGGUGGCCGGUGGCUUCUCGCGCGCCAGACACACGGGUCUGGGCUCCACCUUCUCUCGGUUGACCCAGGAGGCCGAGACUCUUCCUGCUGGGAUCUUCCUUGUCCCCAGCCUGUCCUGGGGACCCCCCCUGCCUCUUCGAUGUCCCCUCCCUCCCUCUAGGGGUGUCCCCCUUGCCCUGGCACUGACCUCAUCCCCGCCUCUGCUUUCUGUCUGAGCGCUGCCCGGACCCCGGAGUCCAGGUCCGCAAACCAGCAGGCAGCUCUCCUGCACUCCAGAAGGACCCGGCUCCCUGAUACCCCAGCCCCUGAGCCCCCCUGAAGCCCGGCAACCCUCAGCACCCCAUCUCAGCAAAGGGCCCCCCAGGCCUGCAGGCUCAGCCCCAAGACUGCUGUCAUGGUUGACUCUGAUCUGCAGCCAGUCCACCUCUGGCCCUCCAUCCCAGGCCAAGCACCAGCAUUCUUCCCUGACCUGCAGCUUCCUCCCCGGGGUUCAGCCUGCUCCUUCUAGAUCUCCCAGCAGCCACAGCCGUCCUUCCGUGGGUCUCCCACACCCGCACCCCGAGCCAGCCUUCUCAGUGGCCUGUGAGGGCCUCUGGAGUCUAGCCACCAGCGCCCUCAUCGCUGCUCCCUGCUGCUCCUAGCUGAAAGCCCACCGGCCUCCUUUCCUUCCUGGAAGCCGCAGGGCCUUUGCACCUGCCAGGGACCUAACCCACCUCCUCAUGGAUACGAGCUGACUGCGCGGUGGCUGAACAAUGGAGUCAGCGUGAGGCCUCCAGACUGGCGGGUGGGGCCGACCUUGGCCCUCCCCUGAGAACUGGCCCCCUCUCUCACCCAUGGGCCCCUGGGAGGCGCCUUCAGCCUCAGCACCUGGCCUGGGGUUGGCCCCUGCUGGGAGCUGCAGCUGGGUCUCAGGCCACCUGCUGGCCUGGGAACUCUGUGGUCUGCGAAGACAUGUGCAGGCGGCUCUGCUCAGGGCGGGGGAGGAGGGAAGCGAGCUGAGCGGACACACAGGGGCCUGGGAGCCACCAGGAACUUUCCAGCCAGCCCUGCAGCCUCACCUCAGGGGCCUGUCUGCACCAGCCAGUGGGUGGGCUCACUAAGCAAAGGGCUCAGGCUGAUUGGCAAACAGCCAGUGGGACAGGAAGGAGGGUCCAGGACGAGACCCCUCCCUCAAAUCAACUGCUUUGUAACGAAAGCCACCUCAGCACAGAAAGGACAGCCUCACUCAAGGCCCCGUGUCAGUUGGGUGUUGGUGGGAAAAUAACCCUUGAUCCCUACAUUAUACCAUAAACAAAACUUAAUUAAAAAUGGAUCACAGGAGUUCCCGUCGUGGCGCUGUGGUUAACAAAUCCGACGAGGAACCAUGAGGUUGUGGGUUCGGUCCCUGGCCUUGUUCCGUGGGUUAAGGAUCCGGCGUUGCCGUGAGCUGUGGUGCAGGUCGCAGACACAGCUCGGAUCCUGCGUUGCUGUGACUCUGGCGUACAGCUCCAAUUCGACCCCUAGCCUGGGAAUCUCCAUAUGCCGUGGCAGUGGCCCUAGAAAAGGCAAAAAGACAAAAAAAUAAAUUAAUUAAUUAAAUAAUUAAAUUAAAUAAAAAAGGAUCACAGACCACGAUGGGAAAGGCACCCCCAAAAAAGUUCUAGAAUGAAACAUGAGGGACUCUCUUUAAGGCCUUAUCGUUGGCAAAGAUUUCUUGCAGAGACACCCAAGGCACAACCCAUACAAGGGGAGCCUGGACUUCAUUCCAAGAAGGGACUUCUGCUUCUCAAGAUGCUGCGAGGAGAGGAGGAAGAGAAGCCGCAAACCCCCGUGGGGCUGCCUGUCUUGGUAGAUAGAGACUUAGCCAACCAGAGCCUGGAGGCCAGAAUAAACAAUUCCUAUGAAUCAGUCAAAAGAGACGCACCGGUUUUUCUUAAUGGGCAAAUACGCCGAGGAAAGGCUGGUCGGCCUCAUUAAUCACCAGGAAAAUAAACACGCGGACCACAAGGAGAUCCCGCUCGGACCCCCUGGACCGUCUCGACGGAGAGCGUCCGACGGUGAUCAGUGCUGCUGAGGCCGCAGAGAGCGGGGCUCGCGCACACCCGGGGUGGGGAAGGGGGGGGGACCGCAGGACAGUCCCCGGAAAACCAUCUGAGGAUUUCUGCUGAUUCGCGGGGAGCCUGGGGCGGGCGACUGCGUGUCAAUGGGACUGGCCCAGGAGCUCCCGGACGACGGGUCAGACGUUACUGGGAGUGCCCGUGGGGCUGAACUUGAGCGAGGACAACACCGCAGUUCCGGGCGUACAUCAGACCCAACUAUAAAUAAUGAGCAGAGAUGCAGCUCCUCAAAAGUCACGGAAAAGGCUGUGUUCGCCAGGGCCGGCCCCGGUGUCCUGGGGCCCGCGAUCGGGAUGGGUUAAAGCAGCACAGUUUUGGUGGUGGUGUCUGCUUGCUUUUGUUUUUGUUUUUCCAUUGUCGGCCACUCCGCGGCCUACGGAGUUCCCAGGCCAGGGAUCCGAUCCAAGCCGCAGUCACAACCCAAGCCACAGCUGCAGCAACGCUGGAUCUUAAGCCACCGUCACCGUGCCGGGCCGGGGAUCCAACCUUCGUCCCAGCGCCACCAAGACGCCGCGGAUCCUGUUGCACCACAGCAGCAACUCCAAAGCAGCACAGUUUGAUCCGCUGGAGAUUCUGGAGGCCAGAGGUCUGAAACAAAGAUGCCGUUGGGCUUGGUCCCCUGGGGGCGCGGAGGGGAAAUUCUGCCUGUGAUUCUCUCCUGGCUUCUGGCGACCUUGGGCUGUGAUGGUCCUUGCGGUCCCUGUGGCCGCAUCACCGCCUCGCCUCCCCCCUCCGCCGCCGUGUCACCAGGCCUCCUUCCUGUGUGUCUGUGUCCAGCCUCCCUCCCCUUGUUGGAUUUGGGGCCCGCCCUAAUCCCGCGUAAUCUCAUUUUGAGAUCUUCAACCAGUUACAUCUUUUUCUAAGUAAAGCCUCCUUGGCAGGAUUCGGCGACACAUCUUCGGUGGGACGUCAUUCAGCAAAGCCCCAGACUGGAAACCGCGUAAGUUCCACCCAACAGGAGAGGAUACACACCUCACAGGAGUGACCGAAAGAUAAAGGAAGAAGCAAAGCAGGAGUUCCCGUCGUGGCGCAGUGGAAACGAAUCCCACUAGGAACCACGAGGGUGCCGGUUCCCUCCCUGGCCUCGCUCAGUGGGUGAAGGAUCCGGCGUUGCCGUGAGCUGUGGUGUAGGUUGCAGAUGCGGCUUGGAUCUGGUGUGGCUGUGGCUGUGGUGUAGGCUGGUAGCUACAGCUCCGAUUAGACCCCUAACCUGGGAACCUCCAUAUGCCGCAGGUGCAGCCCUAAAAAGC